rnacentral:lncRNA from 1 species
AUGUUGUCAAGGAUUCAGAUGAGCCACCCCAGUCUCGGACAACUCACUCUAAGCCACACAACUAGUUCUGAAGAGUAUGGAGCCUACAUAGAGUCAUAAGAUAAGGAAACUGAGGCACAGAAGCAAGGCCAUCCAGUGCGGGAAUUUACACCAGUCUGAUGAUAAAGCCCACAUCCAACCAUUGCGAUAUAUUGCCUUAAAAUAAAUCAACUGACUUUUUAAGAGUAAUAACUCUUUGUCAACAUGUAGAUUACAGUAAUGAAGAGAUGCUCUGAACUCUUGUAUUCCCAGAUUAGAACUUCUGUGUAUUUCAGCAUUUAUGUCAUUUCUUGUUGAAAUCAGUCAUUGUCAAUAGAACU